rnacentral:lncRNA from 1 species
UAUCCAUAGGUUGUAAACACAAAUACAUUUUGAGUUGAGAAUAAAAGUGAAAACUUAGGAUUUUCUGCUUCAUUUAGCAUUUUACUAACAUUUUUACCUUCUUCAAGUUCUUCAAGAAAUAAAAGUCUUUAGAAAUCUAUUUGAGCCAAGGAGCGGGGGAUCAACUUAUUGGUAAGUCUGUGGCAUUUUUACUUUCCUUGUCUUUAUUUUCCCUACUUCUUGUUUAUGCAUGCCUAUUAGGCAUAGUAG